UGAGUUGUAGCUCAGUGGUAGAGCGCAUACCUUGCAUGUAUGUUGUCCCGGGAUUGAUUCCCGGCCUCUCCA
rfam:Rattus norvegicus chromosome X, whole genome shotgun sequence.